rnacentral:lncRNA from 1 species
GCUGGCGAGCGGCCCUCCCGGCCGGCCCUACCGGGACACGGCCGCCUACCGGCACCUCCUGGCGGCCUUCCGCGCUCACCGGGUCACCAGCGAGAAGCUGUGCCGGGCCCAGCAGGAGCUGCACUUCCAGGCCGCCACCUACCUGUGCCUGCUGCGCAGCGUGCGGCACCUGGCCGCCCUGCACCACGAGUACCACGGCCGGGGGGAGCGCUCGCCCGAGGAGGUGGCCGGGCUGGUGGGCUUCCGCCUGCCCCAGCAGCCCGGGGGCAAGGGCUGAGGCGGCCCCAAUAAACGAGCCCCCGGAGGGGAGGCCCCGCUGGCUUGGUGUGGCGUGGUGCUUUGCUGUCAGCGGGUGUGGGGGUAACGGGGAGAAACGGGGAAUCCGCUCCCCAAGGUUAUCGGGGGUACCUGAGCUGCCUCUGGGUGCCCGGUGUGACAGGCGGCCGCAGGGAACGAGGGGGGUGCCUAUAACGGGAAAUCAGGCCAAAAACCUCACUGCUGAGAUCUCAUGAGGAGUUACAACUGUGUUUUCUUGCCCUAAAUCUGUAGGUGAAAUUUGCCCGUUUUCUGCAGGGUUUUCCUGCCAUAGUCUGUACAUUGGGAAUUUUCCAAUGGAAAAGGAAAGGCCCAAAUUCCAAUUCCUAUUUCCAAAGGAAAGGCCCUUUCUUUGAAGCAGCAGAAGGUUUUGUGAGUGCUGCUGGAGCACUUCCCACCCUGAAGAUUUUCAUCCAUGGCAGUGACCUAGUGAUAACUCAAAAUACUGCCACCUAAUGAGCUGCAGCUUUCUGAAUGUCUUGGCGGGGUUGACAUUCAGACUAGGCCUUUUGUGCCUGUUUCACUGAGAAUCCUGGAGCAGCUUCAUUUAUGAGUGAAAUGACGCCUGCCAGUUAAACCAGAUGUGUGAGCUGGAUGACAAUGAGUUAUAUAUAGUCCCUGCAACAAUGCUGUUUUAUUGCCCCGCAACCCGGAACAGCAAGUUUAUUUCUAUAAGAAACACGGGCUUCAACUCUCAGAAGAGGCUUGUUCUGUGCACGAUGCAUAAGAAACCUGCACCAGGGGUGGCUGACAGGGGCUCUAAACGCCAGGCUGGGCUGUAACCGCGGGAGGAGCUUAAUAAAGAGCCACCAACAAAAGCGCGCUCGGCUGGG